UAUGUUUGCAAAUUGCAGUGAGAUAUUAUUGUAUAGUGUCGGUGCAUUGCUUAUAUAUAUGUUGUAUCUGUGACUUUGGUAAGAGAAGGAAAAUUAAAGAGAUACAGAGGAAACACACACAGUGAGCCGAGAGUUCACAGAGGCUGAAAGUUUGAUGUUCCACUAGUGAUUUGCUUUACAAUUUUCAGGUACCAAGGAUGAGCUUGGAUUGAUAGUAGCCGGCUAGGUGGAAAAUUUGGUGUUGAGGAAUUAUUUAAUUCAUUUUAGAGAGUUGUUGUAUUUUAUUAUUUGAGGAAAUUGAUUCUGUAUCAAUAAAAAGAUAUUUUCUUUUGAGAUCUGGGUGUAAUACUGAUGUAUUUUGAUUUGAAUAAAUCGAAAAUUUUAUUUAGAAAAUUCGGAUCGUGACAAAGAUGAAGUUGCAGAAAAUUUUGGGAACGAAGUACUGUGGCAGAAGCAAGGUUGUUGGUUUGAAGGGAAGCGUUCGGUCUUCUGUGGAUGUGAAAGAGACGUGAAGUAUAGGGAUACCAAAGGGUUAGACGCAGAAUUAAUGACUGAAAUGAUAGAUUAGUGCAAUCAGCGGUUUUUGGAAGUCCCAACAAUCAUGAUACUUAGGAAAUUAUAUGGUAUACUCAUGUUUUUAAUGUAAUGGGUGUUAUUUGAAUUUUGGAAGCCGAAGGGUUAAAAUGGCUACCAAAAUUGGGGAGCAUUGUUAACAUCCAUUUUGGUAAUUAGGUUUGGGCUCCAAUUGGGCUUGACGAGCAGUGACAUAGUAGAAGUUUGGGCCGAGAGGAUACUGGGCUGUAAAAGCAUUGGGUUGAAGAUAGGCAGUAAUGAAUUUGGGCUAAGCAACAGACUUGGGUUGUGAUUAGGAUGGCAUUGAAGCAGUUAAAGGAAGAUUGAGUUUUGCAUGGAUAAUGAUUGGAAAUGCAACAGAUAUGGUUGGUUUGGAUGACCGGAAGUGACAAAUAUUAAGGGAGUAUUUAUUUAGUUACAUAAAUAUGGGUUAUAGGCAAAGGAGCAAUGAUGUGGCAGAUUUUACACAAAGGCAAAGUUACAUGCAAGGGGAACACUGAUCGGAUAGAAGAUUAUUUUGAAUUUUAAAUACAGUAGAUAAUAGUUAUAUAUUUAUCCUAUAUUUGAAUUUAGUUAAGAAUUAGUAUUCCGUUAGGAUUAAUUUGAUUUGAAUAAUUAUUUAGUUGUUUGAUAGAGUUUUAAAGUAAUUAGAGUGCUUAUAUUUAGGAAUUUAUGAAGUUCAUUUACCAUUUAUUCUUUAAAUAAUAAAAGAGGCAUGCUGAGAUAGAGGUCCAGCACCCUCAGAAUCUUUUAAUUUAUUUGUUUGCUUUCUCAAGCCUUUCCUAAAAUAACAUCCUUACUAUUUCUUCUCUA